CUCCGUUGGUGAACCAGCGGAGGGAUCAUUACAGAGUUGCAAAACUCCCACAAACCAUCGCGAAUCUUACCCGUACGGUUGCCUCGGCGCUGGCGGUCCGGAAAGGCCUUCGGGCCCUCCCGGAUCCUCGGGUCUCCCGCUCGCGGGAGGCUGCCCGCCGGAGUGCCGAAACUAAACUCUUGAUAUUUUAUGUCUCUCUGAGUAAACUUUUAAAUAAGUCAAAACUUUCAACAACGGAUCUCUUGGUUCUGGCAUCGAUGAAGAACGCAGCGAAAUGCGAUAAGUAAUGUGAAUUGCAGAAUUCAGUGAAUCAUCGAAUCUUUGAACGCACAUUGCGCUCGCCAGUAUUCUGGCGAGCAUGCCUGUUCGAGCGUCAUUUCAACCAUCAAGCUCUGCUUGCGUUGGGGAUCCGCGGCUGUCCGCGGUCCCUCAAAAUCAGUGGCGGGCUCGCUAGUCACACCGAGCGUAGUAACUCUACAUCGCUAUGGUCGUGCGGCGGGUUCUUGCCGUAAAACCCCCCAUUUCUAAGGUUGACCUCGGAUCAGGUAGGAAUACCCGCUGAACUUAAGCAUAUCAAUAAGCGG
rnacentral:rRNA from 1 species